GCAGGCCUAACACAUGCAAGUCGAGCGGUAGAGAGGUGCUUGCACCUCUUGAGAGCGGCGGACGGGUGAGUAAUGCCUAGGAAUCUGCCUGGUAGUGGGGGAUAACGCUCGGAAACGGACGCUAAUACCGCAUACGUCCUACGGGAGAAAGCAGGGGACCUUCGGGCCUUGCGCUAUCAGAUGAGCCUAGGUCGGAUUAGCUAGUUGGUGGGGUAAUGGCUCACCAAGGCGACGAUCCGUAACUGGUCUGAGAGGAUGAUCAGUCACACUGGAACUGAGACACGGUCCAGACUCCUACGGGAGGCAGCAGUGGGGAAUAUUGGACAAUGGGCGAAAGCCUGAUCCAGCCCUGCCGCGUGUGUGAAGAAGGUCUUCGGAUUGUAAAGCACUUUAAGUUGGGAGGAAGGGCA
rnacentral:rRNA from 1 species